AUAUAUAUAUAUAUCCCUGCUUCUUCUUUUUCAACCUUGCUCUUACUUCCCCCAACAUCACCAUGGCACCAGUCGUCUCUCUCUAAAAAAACAAAUCUUAUCUGCUCAAUUGAAAAGGAUGGGCAUUGAAUUAGUAUUACUCGCUUUUAGCCAAUUUAUUCGGUCAAAAUUGAUUCGGUCAAACACGAGCUUUAUAAACAAUCUUCGAUGUCAGUCAUUUAAAACCCCUCUUCAUCCCCAAUUGCAGCCUUCGAGUCCACGCCCUCCAUAACCACCAUAUUCAAGCUAAUAGAUAUGAAGCAACUCAUGUCUUCUCUUCCCUUAUCUCAUUUCCAAUCCCACCGACGUGUUCCGGCCUCUCUCUAAAAUCCCAAAAUUCUGCUCAUAUUGCUCUCAUAUCUCUUCCAUCAUCUCUUUCUCUUUUCAGCAACCCAACGAUUGCAAACCCUUAAAAUCCGUCGGAGCCUAACGAUCUACGUACUCAUGCCAUACAGAGAUCCAGAAAUCAGGAAGAAUUCGCAAAAGGUAUCACUCCAGACUUUAUCUUUGUAUGUAUGUGUGUCGAUUUUGUGUGUUUUAAAGUCCAAUUUUUGGUUUGGAUGUGGAGUGGCAACAGGCAUCCCUGCUACUCUAUCUCUACUCAAAAGAGGUAAAAUACCCUGAUUACCCUUUCAAUCUCUUUUCAUAUGCGUGGGUGUUUGUAGAAACAGAACCAAAUCUUUUUAAUUUCAGAUUUCAUAGAUCGAACAAUGGCUUAUUUUCCCAAGGUUGUUCUUCACAUUUUCUUAUCUGAAUUGGCCUCCGAGCUACUGCUUGUGCCUUUGUCAUCGAUGCAACAACCUCCACCUACCGUUUCCAACCCGGGUAAAAGUUUUGACUAACGGUGAUGAAUACUUGAAGCUUGAUGCAGCCGUGCCACCAUCACCAUUAAGAACUUUAAUGGUUUUGGUUUUUUAUUUGCAUCUUGACAGAUGUUAUGUGCUGGUGUUCUUCAGGAACAUAAACUUAUAUUAGCCUAUUUUUGAUUUACUGGAGGAUGUCUACAUAUAUGGUAUGUCAACAAAAAUAGAAUUUGCACGUUUGAUGUUAAUUCAAAUAGAAUGAUCUUUGUGUGCAGGAGAUUGGCUGUGAAUAUCUGCUUCACCUCCAUUCUCAGACCCCACGACCAUUGGAAAUAGGAUCCUGGGGUUGUCAAUUAUGCUUCUAAUGCUGGUGGCAUCCUGGAUGAAAGUGGUCAACACUAUCAGGUGGAAUCAACAAAAACUUUACCACUUUUUGGCUUGAUUUCAAGUGCUCUUGAAGCAGCAAAAAAAAAAAUCCUUUGUACUGGAUGGUUGGUAUUUUUGAAAAAUGUACAAAGUAAAGUCUUGCGUUUCAUUCUCACUAUGAGUUCUCCACUAAAGGCAAGCCUUAGGUUGGGUA